CUAGAUGCUGCAAAUUCCAGCGCCAUGUCCGGUCAUUGUCUCCCCAGGGUCCUUCGCACUUGCUGACAUCGUGCUACAGCACUGAUACAGCUUGUGUUGUCCGGCGUGCACUCAUCCACUGCUCUGCUCAGUAAUCCUGGGUUCGCUAAGCUCCCCCUUUCAGGCUAUUCAUGGACUGCUGCUGUUUUGUUCCGUUCUGCUGCUUGGCGUUUUCUAGCCUAGCUUGCCUCUGCUAAGGCCCUGUCGUUUCCUCAGUGUGCAACAGAUUGUUACCGACUAUCGUCAGCCGAAGGGUGUCCGCUAUCUGUGGGUGCUUGGGCUUCAAUUUGUUGGUUGCGGUGCAGGUGCGUGUGUCUCUGUGCGUGUGUGCAUGUCUGUAUGUGAGAACGAGCAUGUACGUGUAUGUGUGUAUUCUGUCGCUUUUGUUUUGUUUAGUCAUUGUUAGUGUUUAACAGCUUGUGUAUGUUUGUAUGUGAGAACGAGCAUAUACAUGUAUGUGUGUAUUCUGUCGCUUUUGUUUUGUUUAAUCAAUGUUAGUGUAUAACUGCUUGUGUUUGUUUAGUUAUUGUGCUGUCUGCAUGCUGGCUCUGCUUUGCUGGUGGCUACGCUUGGGUAAAUGUGUAUGCAAAGUCAUUUGGUGCUAAAUCCUUUUGCUUGUGUGCUGUGGUGUUUCUUUAUUUGCUUUGGUUUGCUGUGGUGUCUGAUACUUUUCUUUGGUUUGCUGUGGGUUUUUGUUUGCUUAUAAUUUCUGUAAUUCCUAUUAUUUUUGUUUAGUAAUUUUCUUUUAUUGAUCCCUUGAAGUACGGGAUAGUGCUCCAAUUGGUUUGUAUACAUCCGGUAAGCUCAAUCCAGUUAACCUGUCAGCCUGUUGUCUCUCUAUGUGUUGUGUAGCCUGACUGUGGUGAAUAUAGUGGGCCCACUGUUAGUACCAUUUUACUGUGAACUGCUAAUUUA